rnacentral:lncRNA from 1 species
ACUGAACUUGUCUUUGUUUCUCAUCAUUGAGGACCAUAUUAUAGACAUUGUCAAGAGAAGGAGGAGGCUGCAUCAUCAAAAGAUUACUCCUGACCCCCGUAUAAGCUUCAUUCAGACCCAUUAAAAACUGAAAGACCUUAUUAUCAUCACAUUCCUAAACUAUACCAUCUUUUGCAGCACAUACACACCUUUGACCAUGAUUAGCACACAUAGAAUCAAGUUCAUCUCACAGACCUUUUAGCUUAUUAAAAUUGGAAGCUAUAUCUAAGGACCCUUGAGAGGUGUGGGACAACUCUCUUUUCAGUUCAAAGAUUUUGGUCCUGUUUGCAGUGCCAUAUCUGGCCUGGAGUUGGGACCAUAUGCUCUGUGCACUGUCAGAGUACUGCACAAACUCAGCAAUUGCAGGGGAGAUGGAAGCAGUCAACCAAGAAAUCACCAUGUUGUUGCACAUAUCCCACAACCUUUGUUGAGCCAUAUUAGUGGCAGGUCGUGAGUAUGUGCCAUCAACAAAACCGAUUUUGUUUUUGGCUGAUAGGGCAAUAAUCAUUUUACGUCUCCAGCCCCCAUAACCACUACCCGAGAAGGGAGUGGGAACGAGACAUACCCUAGGAACAUCAGAAGAAUAUACAAAAAAGGGGACUGGAAGAGUCUACAGAAGAGGAGGCACCAGUAUUUGUGUUAGAAGCCAUAGUCAAUGAACCGGCUUAAAGGAACAACUUUUCAACAAACACAGUAUAACCAAAACAGGUAUUCACACACAAUAACCAACAAACAGAGUAUAACCAAAUCAGGUAUUCACAGACAACACC